AUUGAACGCUGGCGGCAGGCCUAACACAUGCAAGUCGAGCGAGCGGCGGACGGGUGAGUAAUGUAUGGGGACUGCCCGAUAGAGGGGGAUAACUACUGGAAACGGUGGCUAAUACCGCAUAUUAUUCGAGGGCCGAUAUCUGAUUAGCUGGUUGGUGGGGUAAAGGCCUACCUAGGCGACGAUCCCUAGCUGGUCUGAGAGGAUGAUCAGCCACACUGGGACUGGGACACGGCCCAGACUCCUACGGAGGAAGCAGUGGGGAAUAUUGCACAAUGGGCGCAAGCCUGAUGCAGCAAUGCCGCGUGUAUGAAGAAGGCCCUAGGGUUGUAAAGUACUUUCAGUCGGGAGGCGUUACCGACAGAAGAAGCACCGGCUAACUCCGUGCCAGCAGCCGCGGUAAUAC
rnacentral:rRNA from 1 species